GACAGAGGGUGCAAACGUUGCUCGGAAUCACUGGGCGUAAAGCGCGUGUAGGCGGCUCGAUAAGUCUGCUGUGAAAGUCCAGGGCUCAACCCUGGGAUGCCGGUGGAUACUGUCGAGCUCGAGUCCGGAAGAGGCGAGUGGAAUUCCUGGUGUAGCGGUGAAAUGCGCAGAUAUCAGGAGGAACACCAAUGGCGAAGGCAGCUCGCUGGGACGUGACUGACGCUGAGACGCGAAAGCGUGGGGAGCAAACAGG
rnacentral:rRNA from 1 species